GACUAAAAUAAUCCAUCCUUCAAUGGAUCGUUCAGGUCCAGGGCCACCUUCGGAGUCAAGUGAAUCAAAUCGAGCAGAAAGGCGAGCAUUCCUUUCAGCCUCAGCAGUCUCUUCACGGAAACCCCGUCCUUUGAUUUUCUUAGAAGCAGAAGAACCGCCGCCGCCACCUGUAAUGGCUGAUUUCAGCUUUGGCAUCGGUGCCCUAGGUGAUGAAGCGUCAACGUCUUCGUCCAUCAGAUCGUCUUCCUCUGGCUCGAAAUCCACAGCCUCCUCCGGGUUCGCCAUUUUCGCCGCUGCAGCAAAAAGAGAGAAUCUGGGGUUUUGAUUCGCUUGUUUCAACUGUAUAUAUUUAUUUAU
rnacentral:misc_RNA from 1 species